rnacentral:rRNA from 1 species
CUGCAGCUCAAGUGGUGAUCAUUAUUAUUGGGCCUAAAACGUCCGUAGCCGGUUUAGUAAAUGCCUGGGUAAAUCGUGUAGCUUAACUAUACGACUUCCGGGUAGACUGCUAAACUUGAGACCGGGAGAGGCUAGAGGUACUCCUGGGGUAGAGGUGAAAUUCUGUAAUCCUAGGGGGACCACCAGUGGCGAAGGCGUCUAGCUAGAACGGGUCUGACGGUGAGGGACGAAGCCCUGGGGCACAAACCGGAUUAGAGACCCGCGUAGUCC